rnacentral:rRNA from 1 species
AAUGAACGCUGGCGGCGUGCCUAACACAUGCAAGUCGUAUGUGCUCGCAAGAGUGCAUGGCAGACGGGUGAGUAACGCGUGGAAAACCUACCUCUUUGUGGGGAAUAACGCUCCGAAAGGAGUGGUAAUACCGCAUGAGACCAUAAUACUGGGAUGUUUAUGGUGAAACCUGGGGACCGUAAGGCCUGGGGCAAGGAGAGGGUUCUGCGUCUGAUUAGCUAGUUGGUGGGGUAAUGGCUCACCAAGGCGACGAUCAGUAGCCGGCCUGAGAGGGCGAUCGGCCACACUGGAACUGAGACACGGUCCAGACUCCUACGGGAGGCAGCAGUGGGGAAUAUUGCGCAAUGGGCGAAAGCCUGACGCAGCAACGCCGCGUGGGUGAUGAAGGUCUUCGGAUUGUAAAACCCUGUCGUCAGGGACGAAGGUUGCUAGUUAAAUAUACAAGUAACUUGACGGUACCUGAAAAGGAAGCCCCGGCUAACUCUGUGCCAGCAGCCGCGGUAAUACAGAGGGGGCAAGCGUUAUUCGGAAUUAUUGGGCGUAAAGGGCGCGUAGGCGGUUUUUUAAGUCAGAUGUGUAAUCCCCGAGCUUAACUUGGGAACUGCAUCUGAGACUGGAAGGCUAGAGUACUGGAGAGGGUGGUGGAAUUCCUCGUGUAGCGGUGAAAUGCGUAGAGAUGAGGAGGAACACCAGUGGCGAAGGCGGCCACCUGGACAGUAACUGACGCUGAGGCGCGAAAGUGUGGGUAGCAAACAGGAUUAGAUACCCUGGUAGUCCACGC